UACGUAGGCAGCAAGCGUUGUUCGGAAUUACUGGGCGUAAAGAGUGUGUAGGCGGUGCUCUAAGUUCGGUGUGAAAUCUCCUGGCUCAACUGGGAGGGUGCGCCGGAAACUGGGGUGCUGGAGCGCGGGAGAGGAAAGCGGAAUUCCUGGUGUAGCGGUGAAAUGCGUAGAUAUCAGGAGGAACACCAAUGGCGAAAGCAGCUUUCUGGGACGGUACUGACGCUGAGACGCGAAAGCGUGGGGAGCGAACAGG
rnacentral:rRNA from 1 species